CUCUCCUCUCCCUACCUCUCUGAAAUCAAUAAAAAUAUGUAUUUUUUAAGAAACAGGCAAUCAGAAGCAUUAGAAAAAAUUCCAAAACUUCCUACUUCAUAAAUUGAUUACCCCACAGGUUGUUCAAGUAUUAAUGCUCUUACAUAACACUACACACCAACAUAACUUAGAGAAUCAGAGAAAUUUUUUCACAUGUGUACAAAAUUGUUUACAUAUAAUAUAUAACUCACUUAUUAUUAAAAAGCCCUGCUACUAAUUAUGAAAAGAUAAGAUACACAUGUAUUUACCCACACAUACAAUGUAUUCUAGCCCGAUGUUUAUUUUCUGAUUAAAGUAUCUUAAAUUCGGUGCAAUGAGGGUUGGAUGGCUGACUUAUUCUAUUACACUGGUGUGUCAACUUCGCACACCCCAACAACUACACGCCCGCCCAUGAAGUUGUCUGAGGCAACUUCUCCCACAGGUCCAACGACCAAUCCUCCAAAGUCACAAUCUCAUGUUAGUAGUGGCACACUGCCUGAGUUAAAAACAAAAUUCUAAACCAAGACACUGUCCAAGUGGAGAGCAGCUCUCAGUAUUUUAUCGUUGCCCCUACAAACCUUUUUUUCGGUUUGUUGCCAGAUCUAAGACAGCCUUUCCUUGAAAACCCUUAACAACCCAGGGCAGGAGGAGGCAGUUAACAUGGCAACAUACUCAUUAACGACUUUUCCACAUGCACAACGAGGAUCACCAUCAAAACAAACCAAUCUGGCGAAGUGCGUGGAUACUGACCACCACCAUUCCUGGCCACCUGCUUCCUCCUGUCGAAGGACUGGCCACCACACUGAAGCCACCUGAAAAUCUACCCCGAUGGGCACCUUCCUAUCCGAAGACUAAAAACCUCGUCAAAUUCCAACCCGCAUUCGUAACAUUCGCAAAAAUGUUAUUUAGCAUAUACUGGGCUACAUUUAAAAGGGGGGGGGACCUAGGAAAUGGCAACUUUCAAAGCGUAAACCUUUUUUGAAAAAUGUCAUUAGCUAAUAAAUCAGAAGAUGACAUGAAGCAGCUGCUGGACUGGAGCAGGGAUCAAAGUUUCCCCUGGACUGGGGACGGUCUAUCCCCACCAGAAAGGAACAGAAACUAGUCAUCCUUGCCACGGGACCCAGUUCCCCGGAAUUCCCUCAAAUAUGCCCGGUCUGCGGACGCAGAAGAGACACUUGGGGGACCGAAGCAUCGUUCUCCUCGGCUCCCCGUCUCCUGUCGUCCGUCGAGAUGUGGCUGAAAUGACAGCUCUGCCGCCAGGGAGGGCACCUCCCGCGAGGCGUGCACCGCGCACGAGCUCCCCGCCCUUCACUUCCGCCGCCUUCUGAAGUCCAGUCGCUGUUCACCCAGAGACUGCUUUCUCAUUUUUAGGUAUUUUGAGGGUUUUUAACGUGCAUCUCUCCAUACCCCAAUAGGGCCUGGCACAAUAGGUAGGACAUUGUAGUUGCUCAAUAAAGGCUUGUUGAGUA